ACGAACGCUGGCGGCGUGCUUAACACAUGCAAGUCGAACGAUGAAGCCCAGCUUGCUGGGUGGAUUAGUGGCGAACGGGUGAGUAACACGUGAGUAACCUGCCCUGGACUCUGGGAUAAGCGUUGGAAACGACGUCUAAUACCGGAUAGGACCCUGGACCGCAUGGUUUGGGGUGGAAAGUUUUUCGGUCUGGGAUGGACUCGCGGCCUAUCAGCUUGUUGGUGAGGUAAUGGCUCACCAAGGCGUCGACGGGUAGCCGGCCUGAGAGGGUGACCGGCCACACUGGGACUGAGACACGGCCCAGACUCCUACGGGAGGCAGCAGUGGGGAAUAUUGCACAAUGGGCGAAAGCCUGAUGCAGCAACGCCGCGUGCGGGAUGACGGCCUUCGGGUUGUAAACCGCUUUUAGUAAGGAAGAAGGGGAGCUUGCUCCUUGACGGUACUUGCAGAAAAAGGACCGGCUAACUACGU
rnacentral:rRNA from 1 species